GACGAACCGUCCAAACGUUAUUCGGAAUUAUUGGGCGUAAAGGGCUCGUAGGCGGUUUGUCGCGUCGGGAGUGAAAACGCCGUGCUUAACACGGCGCUUGCUUUCGAUACGGGCAGACUAGAGGUAUUCAGGGGAGAACGGAAUUCCUGGUGUAGCGGUGAAAUGCGCAGAUAUCAGGAGGAACACCGGUGGCGAAGGCGGUUCUCUGGGAAUGACCUGACGCUGAGGAGCGAAAGUGUGGGGAGCGAACAGG
rnacentral:misc_RNA from 1 species